AACGAACGCUGGCGGCGUGCUUAACACAUGCAAGUCGAACGGGAAUGUCGGGGCAACUCGGCUAGUACCGUGGCGCACGGGUGAGUAAUACGCAGGUAACCUACCUACCGCAGUGGAACAACUUCGGGAAACCGAGGCUAAUUCCGCAUACGUCUCAUCAUCGUAUUGGUGAUGAGGGAAAGGUGGCCUCUACAUGUAAGCUAUCGGAGGUAGAUGGGCCUGCGCACCAUUAGCUAGUUGGUAGGGUAAUGGCCUACCAAGGCGACGAUGGUUAGCUGAUCUGAGAGGACGAUCAGCCACACUGGCACUGGAACACGGGCCAGACUCCUACGGGAGGCUG
rnacentral:rRNA from 1 species